rnacentral:RNase_P_RNA from 1 species
UCCACUUCCCGGGUGAUCGCGGGGUUUUCGUUUCGAUGAAGGCCUCGAGGAAAGUCCGGACACUACAGGGUGGCGCGCCUUGCGAAAGCGAGGGACGGGUCGGCGAAAGCCGGUUCGGACGGAAAGUGCAGCAGAAAAAAUACCGCUUCCUGCCUCGGCAGGGAGUAAGGGUGAAAAGGUGGGGUAAGAGCCCACCGCUCCAAGGGNAACNGAGGAGGCAUGGCAAACCCCGCGUNGUGCAAGACAGAACAGGGGAAGGGUUACCCGCCCGCAGUAUCCCCGGGUAAUAGUCGCAUCCUGCUUCGGCNGGAUCCGNCCAAGGUAACGCGGGCGGAAGAGAAAUGAUUGCCACCCUGUGUCGGCCAAAGGUUCGACACGGGAGACAGAAUCCGGCUUACAGGGGAGUGGACUGC